ACGGAGAAAUGGCGAAGCAGUAGUGAUUCUGGCCACAGCAACAGAGCACCAGUUCAGGCCACAAACAACGAAGCGACAGCCUGUAACCUUCAUCUUCUCCUCCCUAUUCUAUCUACUAGUUCUCUCGAAUUAGAAUACUACCAACGGUUAACCAUAUUGCUAAAAGUGUCAAAAAGGGUGCAUGAAAGAUGACAACAUCCAUUUAUUUGUAAGAAGGCCUGUGAGGAGAUCUCCGUUUAUUAACCGUGGUUUUGCAUGUAUUAAGGUUACUUUGCCCGUUGGGCUGCUCUCCGGAAGCUUCUCUAUCAGUUUCUUGAUUGUGAAAGAAAUACGGAUGGAAAAGCUCGCACAAUGAAACAGAUAUUGUCACUUGGAGCUGGCUUUGAUACGACAUUUUUUUCAGUUGCAGGUAACCAGUAAAAGGGUGAAACUUAUUGAAAGUUAUAGUCAGUUGAGAGACAAAGUUAGUGGAGCAGCAUCACUCUCAAGAGGAAAAUGGCACAUUAACAUCUGUGCUUAACAUAUUGCCAUAUAGAUCGUUUUCCUUUCAAGAAGAGAAAAAGAAGAGGUGGGGUGGGGAGGCAAAUGUGUCAAUUAAGUAGAAAGGAGAAGGGCUUAGUCUACAAGCUACUCCCCAUUGAUCUGCAUGAUAUACAAAAAUUAGUUGAUAUCAUAGCUGUGGCUUAUAUGGAUCCCAGGUAUGAUGUAGAUAAGCUGAUUUCAUCAAGCCCCAUAGUGUGGAGGAACCCUCAAAGACAGAAUAGAGAAUAUAACAUAAACCUCCAUGGCACGAUGGUUCUCACCAUUGGUAAAUAAUGAUGGAGCUUUGAUCAUUACAUGAGCAAAACAGAAGAAGAUAAUAGAAAAAUGCUAGUAGACAUGAACUGCCCAAUUUUUCAGAAGCAUAUAAAACACAGUAAAAAUUUAGUAAGAAUGCGUUUUAAUAAACCUAGAUCCAGAUUCAACCCAGGCUAUAGUUGUCUGGACUGCAAAAACAUUUUCUACUCAUUUCUUUUCUUUGACUUUAGGUUGCCAAUUUUUUCUUGGCACUCCUGGCUUCUUCUGAUUGCCAUCCAUGAUCAUAGUAUUAUAUGGUUGCUUAAAAUAUUAUGAAAAAUAUGUUCACAUACAGUUUCUCAUUUUUUUCCCCCAACAUCUCAUACAGACUUCAUAUGUAAACAUCCAAGUAUUAUAUUUUCCAUCUUUGCACCUCAGUAUUUGUCCUGUUACUUGUUUUGUAACUGGUUUUCGACAUGAUAGAGUUUUGCAAGUGAGAGUUUUACAGAAAUUUCACUUCUGCGGAUCUUCCUUUGUUGUUGCAAUCCAACUUAUCCUACUUCAACUAACCAACCUGAUGUUAAUUCUUUGUCAUGUGUCUCUUAACAAUGAAAUUUGUGCAUGCCAAUGUUCCAGUUUUGUGCCAAUAUUCGAAGAUCAUCAACACAUGCAAGAGUCUUGUAUUAUAUGUUUUUUUCACAUGUAACAACCUCAUAUUAUAUGUUUUAUCUUUUUCUCUCUGAAAGGUAGGGCUGAAAGAAGUAUCUAUGCUUCCUGCCCUUAGGAACUUUUUGAAAAGGAGAAUCUCUGCCUCAUGCUGUUAGGAACUUUUUUUUCCCUGAUUUUACCUGUACCCUGAUUCCUUUGAUCUUAAAAUUUUUUAUUGUUGUACCAAUAUCCUAUGGUUUUGAGAUAAUUGAAUCACAUCUUCUUUGUGAGGUUCUAAAGUUUUUUGUUUCUAGUAGGAUGUAAAGGUUUCCCUCUUUCUUUCUCUGUAUUCUUUUUUCUACACUUUCUAAAACUUCCUUGAAAGAGGCUCAUCUGAGACGUUUGUUGAUUUGGAUUGAACGGCUGGAUUUGUAAGAUGAAUUUGAGGAGUGGCAUAUGAUCAGGCAAGUCAACCUAAUUUUCUUUGUCUUUAGCAACAGAAUGAAGUGGGUAGGCCUGGGCCAAAUAGAAUUGGUCCUCCCUCUCUCCUGUGGUCCAGAUGUAUAGGCUUGGUAAUUGGUAGUACUAGUACCCAACAGUUCAGUUGUUGUGGAGCGCUAGCUCACUGCUGUGGGGAGGUUUGCACAAUGCUUUAAUACAGUUGGCUGAGAGACCCAUGCUGCCUACAAACGAGGCCUUAGUUUUGUUAUUUUCUGUUAUUAAUUUUUGUUUCAAUUUCUGAUUCUCAGGAGCACUAC